UCUGUAAAGGGGAGAGUGCCAGUGAGAGAAUAGCAACCUUUAAUAGCAUGUGUCUAAGCAAGACAAAGGCCAGCUGGCAGCCAAUCAAAGCAGCUUGUGUAGAAAAGUCAGCUAAUGGGCCCUUCAAACUCACUGAGCAUUGAAUCAAAGACAUAAAACAUUUGCCUUCAAUAUUUACAGUCAAACAAAACAGGAUGUAAUACUGGUAGGAUUCUAGGACUUGAGAGAAAAAUAUAUAGAUUAUUUCUGUCACUGGCCAGAGUCUAGCUGAAGUCUUAUUUUGAAAUGUUUCUUAAAUUAGAAGCAGCUGUAGCUUAAUUUUUUUGUUUUGUUUUUAUUCUGGAAGCCUGAAUGAAUAAAUAGUAACUGCAAUAAAUUUUAAACUGCAAAAUUAAUAAAGCAGACUGUCCUGUCCCAUCUUUUCCUCGCAGUUUUAACAAGAACCUAAAGACCUUCAGUUUGCAGAUAAGGGCUCUAUUAUUUUCAUUCCAUUAAGCUAGCUGAGUUUAUUAUUUUGUAAAUUUUAAACAAAAUGAUGUUCAAUUAACCAUUAAAUCUAAACCAAAAUAAUAGUCUAUUCCCUGGCAUCCUUUUCUGCCACCUAUUUUUUUUUAAGAAAUGGGGUCUUGUUAUGUUGUCCAGGCCAGAUUUGAACAAGUCUCAAGCAAUUCUCCCACCUCAGCCUCCUGAGAAGUGGGGACUACCGAGCUCUACCACCCAAUAUUUUUUAUGUUACGUCAGCAAGAAGUAGUUGUGUGGGCCCUCCUGCAUAAGAAAAUCCUUGUUAAAUGAAUGAGUCAAUCACUGCGUACCAGUCCAAAUAGGCAUUGCUCUGUCAGGAUGAAGUGGGAGGAGCAGAGGAAUUUUAUACAAGAACUCAGUAUGAAGGCAUGCUUUCUUGAGUAAGUCAGGUAGCUAGCCAGCAGGCUAGGCUAUGCAGCCUCCCUUUGAUGAAGUCAGGGCAUAAUGAAAAAAGUAAAGCAGGCUUUAUACUUUUCCUGUUUAAUUAGUAUUUACUUCCGUUUCAUUAACUUAGUAUUGUUGACUUCUGCUAGAAUACAUGCUAUCUUUAGAAAGGGAAAUACAAACAAAUAACAGAAUUAAACCAAAUUGAAUCUUUUGUAUCCCUUUAUCUACUCAACAAGUUGAAAAUGGAGCUGAUGGACCACAUUUGACCCACAGAAUGUUUGCUCCACUGUGCCCCCCCACCCCCCGCACAUGUACAGUUUCCUGAUGUUUAAAUUGGUAAUUAACAUAAAGACCAGGGUUUCUGGCUUCUUUUGAAAAACUGGAAGAUCUGGCAAAACCGGGCCCCAGUUCCUACACAGCAAAAAGAAGCUGGAGCUAAGAUCUGUGCUCUAGGUUCAGCACAGUUCCUACCAGGCCUGUUACCUUCCUGGCUCCUUGACUCAUUGGAAUUUGUGUGACCCUGCCCUACUCUUUUCUGGGGGGGCGGGGGUUGUGAGGGGAGGACAGUCUCUGUCACUGAGGCUGGAGUGUAGUGGUGGAUCUCUGCUCACUGCAGCAUCCACCUCCUGGGCUCAAGGGAUCCACGCAUCUCAGCGUCCCAGGUAGCUGGGCUACAGGAAUUUGCCACCAUGCCUGGCUAACUUUUGUUUGUUUGUUUGUUUGUUUUUUGUAGAGAUGGGGAUUUUGCUUCAUUGCCCAGGGUGAUCUUGAACUCAACAGAUUUGCCCACCUCGGCCUCCCAGAGUGCUGGGAUUACAGAUUAUAGGCCUGCCUAUCUAUCAGCAACCCCCAGUAUAGUGUAAGAUUUUCAAGGACAAGAUCUACAGAAACCCAAUACACAGGAAACACUGCUUUGCCGAGCACAGGCCUGACGCAUGUGGGCUGAACUGAAUACAGCACCCACACUGGAACUACGGAAAUGACGUUAGACAAAAAGCAAAUUCAAGCAAUUUUCUUAUUUGAGUUCAAAACGGGUUGUAAAGCAGUGAAGACAACUCGCAACAUCAACAAUGCAUUUGGCAAUGCAUUUGGUGGUUCAAGAAGUUUUGCAAAGGACACGAGAGCCUUGAAGAUGAAGAGCUUAGUGGCUGGCCAUCAGAAGUUGACAAUGGCCAACUGACAGCAAUCAUCGAAGUUGAUCCUCUUGGAACCACACAAGAAGCUGCUGAAGAACUCAACAUCAACCAUUCUACAGUCUUUUAAAGCAAAUUUGAAAGGUGAAAAAGCUUGGUAAGUGGGUGCCUUAUAAGCUGAGAGAAAACGUUUUAAAAAAUCGUUGCUUUCAAGUGUCAUCUUCUCCUCUUCUACACAACAACGAACCAUUUCUCAAUCAGAUUAUGACAUGCAACAAAAAAUGGAUUUUAUAUGAGAAUCAGCAAUGACCAGCUCAGUGGUUGGACCAAGAAGAAGCUCCAAAGCACUUCCCAAAGCCAAACUUGCACCAAAAAAAAAAAGGUCAUGGUCACCAUUUGGUGGUCUGCUGCUGGUCUGAUCCACUACAGCUUUCUGAAUCCCAGCGAAACCAUGACAUCUGAGAAGUAUGCUCAGCAAAUCAAUGAGAUGCACCCCAAACAGCAACGCCUGUAGCUAGCAUUGGUCAAGAGAAAGGGUCCAGUUCUCCACGACAACACCCAACUGCACAUUGCACAACCAACGCUUGAAAAGUUGAACAAAUUGGGCUACGAAGCUUUGCCUCAUCCGCCAUAUUCACCUGACCUCUUGCCAACCGACUACCACUUUUUCAAGCAUCUCGACAACUUUUUGCAGGGAAAAUGCUUCCACAACCAGCAGGAUGCGGAAAAUGCUUUCCAAGAGUUGUUGAAUGUAGAAGCACAGAUUUUUUUCACUACAGGAAUAAACAAACUUAUUUCUCAUUGGC